rnacentral:rRNA from 1 species
ACGCACGCUGGCGGCGUGCCUCAUCCAUGCAAGUAGCACGCUGAAGAGAGGAGCUUGCUCUUCUUGGAUGAGUUGCGAACGGGUGAGUAACGCGUAGGUAACCUGCCUUGUAGCGGGGGAUAACUAUUGGAAACGAUAGCUAAUACCGCAUAACAAUGGAUGACACAUGUCAUUUAUUUGAAAGGGGCAAUUGCUCCACUACAAGAUGGACCUGCGUUGUAUUAGCUAGUAGGUGAGGUAAUGGCUCACCUAGGCGACGAUACAUAGCCGACCUGAGAGGGUGAUCGGCCACACUGGGACUGAGACACGGCCCAGACUCCUACGGGAGGCAGCAGUAGGGAAUCUUCGGCAAUGGGGGCAACCCUGACCGAGCAACGCCGCGUGAGUGAAGAAGGUUUUCGGAUCGUAAAGCUCUGUUGUAAGUCAAGAACGGGUGUGAGAGUGGAAAGUUCACAAUGUGACGGUAGCUUACCAGAAAGGGACGGCUAACUACGUG